GACUAGUGAAUACAUAGCUAGCAAGAGGUAGACGCAGUGAACUGAAACAUCUUAGUAGCUGCAGGAAGAGAAAGAAACAUCGAUUCCCUGAGUAGCGGCGAGCGAAAAGGGAAGAGCCCAAACCAACGAGCUUGCUUGUUGGGGUUGUAGGACUGAACUUUAGAGUUACCAAAGUGCGACGUAGUCGCAACAGUUGGGAAGCUGUGCCAUAGAGGGUGAAAGCCCCGUAGACGAAACGUCACACUCUCUGUUCAGGAUCCUGAGUACGGCGGGACACGUGAAACCC
rnacentral:rRNA from 1 species